rnacentral:rRNA from 1 species
AUUGAACGCUGGCGGCAGGCCUAACACAUGCAAGUCGAACGAGUGGCGGACGGGUGAGUAAUGUCUGGGAAACUGCCUGAUGGAGGGGGAUCACUACUGGAAACGGUAGCUAAUACCGCAUACCAUCGGAUGUGCCCAUAGGGGAUUAGCUAGUGGGUGGGGUAACGGCGCACCUAGGCGACGAUCCCUAGCUGGGCUGAGAGGAUGACCAGCCACACUGGAACUGAGACACUGUCCAGACUCCUACGGGAGGCAGCAGUGGGGAAUAUUGCACAAUGGGCGAAAGCCGGAUGCAGCCAUGCCGCGUGUAUGAAGAAGGCCUUCGGGUUGUAAAGUACUUUCAGCGGGGAGGCGUUACCCGCAGAAGAAGCACCGGCUAACUCCGUGCCAGCCGCCGCGGUAAUUC